GCCCUCUUAGCUCAGUGGUAGAGCGCGCCACUCGUACGGUCACGUGAUUAAGUUAUGGUGAGGUCGGUUGUUCAAUCCAGCCAGCGGGCA
rnacentral:tRNA from 1 species